CUUGAUGACGACUGGCGCACGGGUGAGUAACGCGUAUCCAACCUUCCCAUAACUACGGGAUAACCCGUUGAAAGACGGCCUAAUACCGUAUGAUGUCGUUUGCUGACAUCAAAUAACGAUUAAAGGUUUAGCGGUUAUGGAUGGGGAUGCGUCUGAUUAGCUUGUUGGCGGGGUAACGGGCCCACCAAGGCGACGAUCAGUAGGGGUUCUGAGAGGAAGGUCCCCCACCAUUGGAACUGAGACACGGUCCAA
rnacentral:rRNA from 1 species